ACUGAACGCUGGCGGAAUGCUUUACACAUGCAAGUCGAACGGCAGCACGGACUUCGGUCUGGUGGCGAGUGGCGAACGGGUGAGUAAUGUACCGGAACGUGCCCAGUCGGGGGGGCUAACGUAGUGAAAAUUACGCUAACACCGCAUACGAUCUAUGGAUGAAAGCGGGGGAUCGCAAGACCUCGCGCGAUUGGAGCGGCCGAUAUCAGAUUAGGUAGGUGGUGGGGUAAAGGCCCACCAAGCCAACGAUCUGUAGCUGGUCUGAGAGGACGACCAGCCACACUGGAACUGAGACACGGUCCAGACUCCUACGGGAGGCAGCAGUGGGGAAUUUUGGACAAUGGGCGGAAGCCUGAUCCAGCCAUUCCGCGUGCAGGAUGAAGGCCCUCGGGUUGUAAACUGCUUUUGUACAGAACGAAAAGGUUUCUACUAAUACUAGGAGCUCAUGACGGUACUGUAAGAAUAAGCACCGACUAACUACGUGCCAGCCGCCGCCGUAA
rnacentral:rRNA from 1 species